AACGAACGCUGGCGGCAGGCUUAACACAUGCAAGUCGAGCGCCCUUUUUCGGAGGGAGCGGCAGACGGGUGAGUAACGCGUGGGAAUCUACCAAUCACUAGGGAAUAACUCAGGGAAACUUGAGCUAAUACCCUAUACGUCCUUAUGGAGAAAGAUUUAUCGGUGAUUGAUGAGCCCGCGUUGGAUUAGCUAGUUGGUGGGGUAAAGGCCUACCAAGGCGACGAUCCAUAGCUGGU
rnacentral:rRNA from 1 species